ACGUAGGGUGCGAGCGUUAAUCGGAAUUACUGGGCGUAAAGCGUGCGCAGGCGGUUCGCCAAGUCAGGUGUGAAAUCCCCGGGCUUAACCUGGGAAUUGCGCUUGAAACUAGCGGGCUUGAGUGUGGCAGAGGGGGGUGGAAUUCCGCGUGUAGCAGUGAAAUGCGUAGAUAUGCGGAGGAACACCGAUGGCGAAGGCAAUCCCCUGGGCCUGCACUGACGCUCAUGCACGAAAGCGUGGGGAGCAAACAGGA
rnacentral:rRNA from 1 species